UUCUUAUAUUUUAUUAUCUAUUCCGUACGUUUUUUGAAAGCCUACUCCUUCAAAACCAUUCAACUUAGAAAAACUAUUCAAACACCAUUAGAUUCCUAUUCUUUUGGACAUGAUUGCUUGUAUUUUUCUCAUUUUUAACAUUUAUAUUUUUAAUUUUAUUCAACUUUAUUCAACAAAAAUUUCCCAUGUAUUUCAAUGGGGAGACCCUUCAAAUUCUCAUUCAACUUACUCAUUUUUAAACUCUUACUACUUCCACAUACAUUGACAUAGAGCCACCAUUCAAACUUUAAAACGAAGACAAGACAUUCAAUUAUUCAACUUGUAUUUAUCUUUUCAAUAUCUAUUAUACUUUUUCUUCAGUUCCAGUUUAAGUUUCAUGAUGUUUUUUCACCCGUUUCAGAGUUUAUAAUGGGUGUGUAUGGGACGGAAUGUUGGGGCUAGAGUGAGGCAGCUCAACUGCUAGAGUGAGAGGAGCAAAAAAAUUAAUCUUAAAAUCUUUUUUAAAACUGCUGCUGUGUCCGCAGCGUUUGCUCUACAGGUAUGAUUUUACCCUCAAAACGUAGCCAUGGCUGUCCUCUUUCAUCCAAUGUGUUUACUAUUGUCCUAGGUGUUAUGGUUCUUUCAUAAAUGUCACCAAUGCACAGCCUCCUCCCUCCAACUCUUCCAUAGACUGUAAUGUUAAAAUGGCUCAGAAGGUUCGUUUGAAAAUCAGAAGAGCAUGGUGUCUUUCCACUGUCACCACGUCCAUAUAAUAAGCUCCACAGGCAUGAAAACUGAGAAUUAGGUAGACUAGACAUUGCUGUCGCUCACGGUGAAAGAAUUUUGUCAAUACGACUUUUACUUUUCAUUUGGGAGCGAUUUGUUUCGGCCUGACUUUUCUGUUCAUUUUAAGCAGCAAAAGUGAGGUGCAUGUCUGUGUACGUGUGUAUGGAGCCAUUGGGUGCAGUCACUAUAGCAACCAGGCUCACACCUGCCUGCUUAACGAGCUCUGCCUGCCACUGUACCAAGAUUCAUCUUAAACACUUCUCUUUCAACUGCUGCUGUGUCCACAGUGUUACAGCCAUCAUUUUACCCUCAAAUUGUCGCCAUUAUUGUUCUCUUUCCAACACCGUGUCUUUCAAAGCUCAGGCAUUUAAACUUUUUAAACUGUGUGGAUCAAAGUGGAGGGAUCACAUUUUAGUCAUUCAGUGAUUCAAAGAAUAUGACCUUUUAAUAUUCAUUCAGAUGUUUUCUGACUCUAAAUGUUCUUUUCUCAUUUCUUAGGUUUUUCUAAUUUACAAUUAAAACAUUUUCAGCUUUUUUCCAACUUCUUCUUCUGUGUAACCUUCAGCUUUUAGCAGUUCAGCACCUUUGUUUUCAGGUUAAAUUCAUUUUUUUUUUUUGUUUUUUUUUUAAUCUCAUUCAAUAUUUUUAACUCAAAAUUCAGCAAUUAAUUCAUUUCAGUGCAUACAUUCAGAUUCAAGCAUUCACACUGCAGUUUCUUCAGAAAAUGCACUUUCUAGUUAUUAUAUUUUAUUAUUUUUCCGUACGUUUUUUGAAAGCCUACUCCUUCAAAACCGUUCAACUUAGAAAAACCAUUCAAACAUCGUUAGAUUCCUAUUCUUUUGGACAACAUUGCUUCUAUUUUUCUUAUUUUUAACAUUUAUAUUUUUAAUUUUAUUCAACUUUAUUCAACAAAAAUUUAUAAUGUAUUUCAAUGGGGAAACCCUUCAAAUCCUCAUUCAACUUACUCAUUUUUAAACUCUUACUACUUCCACAUACAUUGACAUAAAGCCACCAUUCAAACUUUAAAACGAAGACAAGACAUUCAACUAUUCAACUUGUAUUUAUCUUUUCAAUAUCUAUUAUACUUUUUCUUCAGUUCCAGUUUAAGUUUCAUGAUGUUUUUUCACCCGUUUCAGAGUUUAUAAUGGGUGUGUAUGGGACGGAAUGUUGGGGCUAGAGUGAGGCAGCUCAACUGCUAGAGUGAGAGGAGCAAAAAAAUUAAUCUUAAAAUCUUUUUUAAAACUGCUGCUGUGUCCGCAGCGUUUGCUCUACAGGUAUGAUUUUACCCUCAAAACGUAGCCAUGGCUGUCCUCUUUCAUCCAAUGUGUUUACUAUUGUCCUAGGUGUUAUGGUUCUUUCAUAAAUGUCACCAAUGCACAGCCUCCUCCCUCCAACUCUUCCAUAGACUCUAAUGUUAAAAUGGCUCAGAAG
ensembl:lncRNA